rnacentral:rRNA from 1 species
UACGAAGGGGGCGAGCGUUGUUCGGAUUUACUGGGCGUAAAGGGCGCGUAGGCGGCCUUGUCAGUCAGGCGUGAAAGCCCCGGGCUCAACCUGGGAACGGCGCUUGGGACGGCGAGGCUGGAGUUCGGGAGAGGAGAGUGGAAUUCCCAGUGUAGAGGUGAAAUUCGUAGAUAUUGGGAAGAACACCGGUGGCGAAAGCGGCGCACUGGACCAUAACUGACGCUGAGGCGCGAAAGCUAGGGGAGCAAACAGG